rnacentral:rRNA from 2 species
UAAGGAAUAUUGGUCAAUGGGGGCAACCCUGAACCAGCCAUGCCGCGUGCAGGAAGACGGCCCUACGGGUUGUAAACUGCUUUUAUACGGGAAUAAAUCUCGCUACGUGUAGUGAGUUGAAUGUACUGUAAGAAUAAGGAUCGGCUAACUCCGUGCCAGCAGCCGCGGUAAUACGGAGGAUCCAAGCGUUAUCCGGAUUUAUUGGGUUUAAAGGGUGCGUAGGCGGCCUAUUAAGUCAGGGGUGAAAGACGGUGGCUCAACCAUCGCAGUGCCCUUGAUACUGAUGGGCUUGAUUACACUUGAGGUAGGCGGAAUGUGACAAGUAGCGGUGAAAUGCAUAGAUAUGUCACAGAACACCAAUUGCGAAGGCAGCUUACUAAGGUGUCAAUGACGCUGAGGCACGAAAGCGUGGGGAUCAAACA